GCGAGAGUGGUGGAAUGGCAGACACACUAGCUUAAGGGGCUAGCGGGAGCAAUCCUGUGGGGGUUCAAAUCCCCCCUCUCGCACCA
rnacentral:tRNA from 1 species